ACAAGCGGUGGAGUAUGUGGUUUAAUUCGAUGCAACGCGAAGAACCUUACCUGGUCUUGACAUCCCGGAGACCCUUAGGAAACUAGGGGGUGCUUCCAUCUGGAAGAAUCUGGAGACAGGUGCUGCAUGGCUGUCGUCAGCUCGUGUCGUGAGAUGUUGGGGUUAAGUCCCGCAACGAGCGCAACCCUUGCCUUUAGUUGCCAGCAGUUCGGCUGGGCACUCUAAAGGGACUGCCGGUGUUAAACCGGAGGAAGGUGGGGAUGACGUCAAGUCCUCAUGGCCUUUAUGACCAGGGCUACACACGUACUACAAUGGCCGAUACAAAGGGCAGCGACACUGCGAGGUGAAGCCAAUCCCGUAAAAUCGGUCUCAGUCCGGAUUGGAGUCUGCAACUCGACUCCAUGAAGUUGGAAUCGCUAGUAAUCGUGGAUCAGCAUGCCACGGUGAAUACGUUCCCGGGCCUU
rnacentral:rRNA from 1 species